GACGAACGCUGGCGGCGUGCUUAACACAUGCAAGUCGAACGGAAAGGCCCUGCUUGUGUGGGGUGCUCGAGUGGCGAACGGGUGAGUAACACGUGAGUAACCUGCCCUUGACUUUGGGAUAACUUCAGGAAACUGGGGCUAAUACCGGAUAGGAGCUCCUGCUGCAUGGUGGGGGUUGGAAAGUUUCGGCGGUUGGGGAUGGACUCGCGGCUUAUCAGCUUGUUGGUGGGGUAGUGGCUUACCAAGGCUUGGACGGGUAGCCGGACUGAGAGGGUGACCGGCCACAUUGGGACUGAGAUACGGCACAGGCUCCUAAGGGAGGCAGCAGUGGGGAAUAUUGCACAAUGGGCGGAAGCCUGAUGCAGCAACGCCGCGUGCGGGAUGACGGCCUUCGGGUUGUAAACCGCUUUCGCCUGUGACGAAGCGUGAGUGACGGUAAUGGGUAAAGAAGCACCGGCUAACUACGUG
rnacentral:rRNA from 1 species